AUACCUUUCUCGGCCUUUUGGCUAAGAUCAAGUGUAGUAUCUGUUCUUAUCAGUUUAAUAUCUGAUACGUGGUUCAAUGAACCACACGAUAUUAAAUUAAUUUUUUCAGGGGGAAAAGUCCAAAAGAUAGCUUGCUAUCAGGACCUUCGAGCGUCGCUUCUGUAUUGCACUACAGCAGAAGCCUGGCGCACCCCAC